rnacentral:rRNA from 1 species
UACGUAGGUCCCGAGCGUUGUCCGGAUUUAUUGGGCGUAAAGCGAGCGCAGGUGGUUUAUUAAGUCUGGUGUAAAAGGCAGUGGCUCAACCAUUGUAUGCAUUGGAAACUGGUAGACUUGAGUGCAGAAGAGGAGAGUGGAACUCCAUGUGUAGCGGUGGAAUGCGUAGAUAUAUGGAAGAACACCAGUGGCGAAGGCGGCUCUCUGGUCUGCAACUGACGCUGAGGCUCGAAAGCAUGGGUAGCGAACAGG